AGAGGAUGUUGAAGAUCUCUCUAAGAUUUUGUGGGCUCACGACACUCGUAGCUCACUUUCUCACUUCCCGAACUCCAGGCUAAAACUCUAGGGAACUCACCGGAAACCUUGCACCCACUUUUCUUUCUUUUCUUUCUUUUUCUCUUGGAAGGAUAUGGACUUCCUUCUCACGCACAAGACUUCUCACGUCCCAAAAUUUUUCUCCAAAAAUCUUCUUCUUGCAUGCCCCACUCUUCUCC
rnacentral:lncRNA from 1 species